GCCACUGUAGCUCAGUCGGUAGAGCAACUGAUUCGUAAUCAGUAGGUCGGCGGUUCGAUUCCGCCCAGUGGCU
rnacentral:tRNA from 1 species